UAUAUAAUAAAGCAGAACGGAUUUUGAAAAUAUCCUAGAGACAUUUGUCCUACUAAGACAUUUGAAUGGUGAAGAUUCAUUUGCCUAUUUACAUGAACGGCUGAGAUUACCCAUUCAAUAUGUGUCAAUCCCCUUCCCGCCCAAACACUAAAGUAACUGCACACCCACGUCUCAUCUCCAGCCUACUCACCCACGUCUCAUCUCCUUCUAUCUUUAUCUCUUCUCUUCUUUGUUCUCACCCAUCCCUCUUUUAUCUCUCUGCUCUCCAGCCCUGUUCUUCUUCUUCUUCUGCUCUCCAGGUCAGAUCACUUUUCAAUUGUUCUUGCAAUUGUUCUUUAUCUUUUUUGAUAUUUUCAGAUGGAGAAAAUUUGGAUUUCGGUUCUGUAGAUCAAGUUCGUGAUCUUGAGACCCGAUUGGGACCCAACAAAUUCCAGAAGCAAUUUCGCUCGCUGGGUCGACUUCGCGAUCGCAAGUAAACAACUCGAUACGCUACGGUACAGAAGAGUUUGAUCGCAAGGUAAAAUUCUCUUUUUGGGGUUUUCUGAACCAAGCUUUGAUGGGUCAGAGGAUUCGAAAUGGAGGUUUCUCUGGGCUGAUUCAUAUGGAUUUGGAGGUCUGAAUCUGGGUUUACAGAGUGGGUUCAAUGUAGAAGAGCUCUCUUCAAUCCCAAACUUAAGGUCUUAUAAUUAUUACUCUGAUGAUCAACACUGUGGUCUCUGCCACAAGAAGAAGCGCGUUAAUGGCGAAAACUUUGGGCUAUCUCCCCCGAUCAAUGGCUGUGAUUUUCUAGGAUUGAAUCUACGAAACAAGCGAAUUGUCGACGGAGAGAAUCAAGAUCUUAGCAUGGGAGCUCUGGGUUAUGGCGGUGGCAAUGUUGAUCAGGUGAAGAAGGAGCCUUAAGCAGGGCAGAUGUAUCUCAUAGAUGAAAGAGAUAUCUCAAAGAUGAAAGAGAAUGAGUGGUGGAAGAUGGAGGAGAGAGAAUAAGUGGGGAAUUGAUGGACAAGGUGUGGGUUUUGUGUUUCUAACCAUUAAAUUGAUUUUUAAUUUUUUUUAAUUUUUUUAUGUGUGUGUUCUUUUUUUUUUAAAUAGAUUUUUAUUUUUUUUUAAUUUUUAUGUAGUUUAUGGAUUUGGAUUUAAUUUUUUAAAAUGUUUUAGGUUUAAAAUAAUAGUUGAUCUUUAUAAAAUGGGUUUCGAUUUUAGAAAUA